UUGCGUAGUUAUUGUGAUUCGCAUAAUGAAUGAGCCGCGAGCGCGCGCGCACUCAACGAGCUCUACCAGUCGCGGCAUGUCAGCCGGCGCGCGACGAACGCGGUCGAUGGAGCUAUGUAAAAUUUACGUCGCUGUCGGCGAACUCGCCAAUCGCUUCGCCGCCGCCGCCGCUCCGGCCGGCCCCGGCGCCGGCGACGACGCCGACUGACUCACAGUGGCCACGCCCAUCAGUUCAAUGUCAUAAGCGCGUGCGCGUAUUCAUCGAUACUACAUGCUUCUAUAUGAACUUGGUUACCCACAACGAGUUCGCGAAAAGUUCAACGCAUUUUUCGUCCAAUGCAUUCCAAAUGGUUACAGAAUGUUGGAAAAUAUUAAACAGUAUAAGAUUCCGAUAAGUCUCGACAAGAAAAAAUAUUAUCACUUUUCAUUACUGACUUCAUUAUUGACAACUUUUCAAGAACAUAGUCCCGAUGAAGAACUUGACGUGCAGACCAAAAUUGACAACUUGCGCCGCAUACGAGUACAUGUGUCGCCGCAGGUUUCUGCACUCAGCACCAACCAAAGUGGAUACAGUUUUGAGUUUGGACAACAACGGUCGCAGCUGACGAUGAUGGUUCUCAUCGAGACAAGUCAUACAAAAUUAAACACUGACUUGACUUGCGGUCGGGCUUUAAUACUAGACAAUAGAAACAAUGUAAGAAGUUUUAAAGCGUUGAAUUUAUUUUUAUGUAAACAUUAAUUUUGUAAAACAUGUACCAUCCUAAACCAGAA